UACGUAGGUGGCGAGCGUUGUCCGGAUUUACUGGGCGUAAAGGGAGCGUAGGCGGACUUUUAAGUGAGAUGUGAAAUACUCGGGCUCAACUUGAGUGCUGCAUUUCAAACUGGAAGUUUAGAGUGCAGGAGAGGAGAAUGGAAUUCCUAGUGUAGCGGUGAAAUGCGUAGAGAUUAGGAAGAACACCAGUGGCGAAGGCGAUUCUCUGGACUGUAACUGACGCUGAGGCUCGAAAGCGUGGGGAGCAAACAGG
rnacentral:rRNA from 1 species